rnacentral:rRNA from 1 species
UGUUUGAUGUUCUAACGUUGGCCCCUGAUCGGGGUUGCGGACAGUGUCUGGUGGGUAGUUUGACUGGGGCGGUCUCCUCCUAAAGAGUAACGGAGGAGCACGAAGGUUGGCUAAUCCUGGUCGGACAUCAGGAGGUUAGUGCAAUGGCAUAAGCCAGCUUGACUGCGAGCGUGACGGCGCGAGCAGGUGCGAAAGCAGGUCAUAGUGAUCCGGUGGUUCUGAAUGGAAGGGCCAUCGCUCAACGGAUAAAAGGUACUCCGGGGAUAACAGGCUGAUACCGCCCAAGAGUUCAUAUCGACGGCGGUGUUUGGCACCUCGAUGUCGGCUCAUCACAUCCUGGGGCUGAAGUAGGUCCCAAGGGUAUGGCUGUUCGCCAUUUAAAGUGGUACGCGAGCUGGGUUUAGAACGUCGUGAGACAGUUCGGUCCCUAUCUGCCGUGGGCGCUGGAGAACUGAGGGGGGCUGCUCCUAGUACGAGAGGACCGGAGUGGACGCAUCACUGGUGUUCGGGUUGUCAUGCCAAUGGCACUGCCCGGUAGCUAAAUGCGGAAGAGAUAAGUGCUGAAAGCAUCUAAGCACGAAACUUGCCCCGAGAUGAGUUCUCCCUGAGAC